rnacentral:rRNA from 1 species
GACGAAGGAUGCAAGCGUUAUCCGGAUUCAUUGGGCUUAAAGGGAGCGUAGGCGGCUUGGUAAGUCAGUGGUGAAAUCUGUGGGCUUAACCCACAAACUGCCAUUGAUACUGCUGAUCUAGAGUACAGUUGCCGUUGGCGGAAUAUGACAUGUAGUGGUGAAAUACUUAGAUAUGUCAUAGAACACCGAUUGCGAAGGCAGCUAACGAAGCUGUAACUGACGCUGAGGCUCGAAAGUGCGGGGAGCAAACAGG